rnacentral:rRNA from 1 species
UACGUAGGGGGCAAGCGUUGUCCGGAUUUAUUGGGCGUAAAGAGCGUGUAGGCGGCCAGACAGGUCCGUUGUGAAAACUCGAGGCUCAACCUCGAGAUGUCGAUGGAAACCGUCUGGCUAGAGUCCGGAAGAGGAGAGUGGAAUUCCUGGUGUAGCGGUGAAAUGCGCAGAUAUCAGGAGGAACACCCGUGGCGAAAGCGGCUCUCUGGGACGGUACUGACGCUGAGACGCGAAAGCGUGGGGAGCGAACAGG